rnacentral:lncRNA from 1 species
AUCUCUUAUUUUGUUCGCUCUUUUUUUCUCUCUAUCUUUCUCUCUUAUAAGGUAACAAAAAUAUUAAGCUGGGAGAACGUGAGACGGAAGAAAAUUGCACGGAUGUUUUCUCCGCAGUUUUAGUGGCAUUAAAAAAGAAGCUGAGUAUUAAAAAAAGACGAGUACAUGGAACGUACUACUGUCCGAAAGGGCUACGAAAGGGACUUGUUGACGUUUCACCGAUAAUGAAAUUCCUUGGAGUAGAAAAACAUGGAUCGUAAAUAUCGUUGGUCGAAAUAGGAAACGGAAGAGAGUAAAAGAAUGAUAAAGAGAAACAAGGAGAGAAACAUGGAGAGAAAGAGAGAGAGGGAGAAAAAAAUAAUUAGAGCGAAGAAUCACCGGAGGCCUUCUCGUGCAAAAGAUUUAUCGGGAAAAGGUAAAGUAAAGUAGUGUUAAUUUGUAAAGAUACUACAUGUAACAACUAAA